GUUCUCAUUUUCUUUAAGGGAAACCCCAUUUCCCCCCCUGAAUGUUUCUAAGUUUCUGUCACUCUGCAGGCAGACGGAAGUCGUACUGGGUCCUUCUUUCCCCCACCCCCAAAUGGCUCAUUCCUGAGGGGAAUGUGUUUACUCCUUCCAGCAGAGGCAAUCACCUACUUUGGUUGGCUGUGCAGCGAAAGAGUGGAAAGGGAAGUGGAGUAUAGGGUCUCCCGCUCACAUUUACCUCUGCUACCUGAAGAAGGCAGAAUGCAUUUCUCUCUCUACCUGUAAGUGCAAAGAACAAUUUGAAUGUCAUGUCCUGGAACCUUCCUGUGGUAGGAGGAAGGGGUUUCUGCACCCCAAAACAGUGAUUUAAAGCAACCACCAUUUAUUCUGUGGGUUGGUCCCACCUGGGUGGUUCUGAGUGAGCCUGGUAAGGCUUGCUUACCCAUGUGCAGGCUGGCUGCUGGCUGGCUGCGGUUAGCAGGGGCCAGCCUGAGCUCUCCCCAUGUGCUCCCUCAGCCUCCCAGCGAGCUAGUCUGGCCUUGCUCUCUGGUGGUGGCAGGUUUCUGAGAGAGCAAGCAUCCCAGUGCUCGCACUGGUAUUCUGUGACUUCUGCCACACUCUGUUGGCCAGAGCAAGACACAGGAGCAGCUCAGGUUCAGGAGUUGGGGGAGACAGAGCCCCAGCUCUUAGCGGGAAGAGGAGCAGCGUGAAAGAGGGAGAGGGAUGGAUGCAGGAAGGGGAAGAGUGAGUCCCUUUUACCAUCCGUCUACACUGGAGUGUUGUUCAGAAUAAAAUGGUGUGGAGUAAAAUGCUCCCAGAGCACAUCUGGGAAUAAGAGAGGGAUGUUCCCAGCCCGGGGGGUGCUUCCAUCUCCAAUGAUCACAUUCCAACAGAGAGACCCCCACAUCCAUAUUUAAGGACUGAAAUUCCUUCCAAAGCCAAAUAUCCAUGGUCGGGGUCCUGUGUCGACUGUACUACUGCAUUCCAGCGGCACAAGUCACUGAAGAGCAACUACUGCACAGUCAAGAAGACUGUAGAGGAACCUGGUAUAGAAACAGAUAAGAGAUGUCCCACUCACCCUUUAUGCUCAUUCAGCAAACCAUGGUGAGGUAUUGGGCAAAAGAGCGAGCUUGAGCGAGGGUUCUGUCUCUGGUGGAAGAGGCAUCAUUUUGAAACAUUGGCUCUUUGACAGUCUCAGGAUGCAUGCCUCCCCUUGGCCAUCUGCUCCGGGGAGCUGGGGGGUGCUCUGGGCACCAGUCGCAUAACCCCCUUUGAGGGGAGGAAAUAAGCAUUCAAAGGCCUAAACAUUCAGUUGGUGAGUCAUUGUUUUUAUUUAUGCUUGGCCCUGAGCAUCCCUGAGAAAGGAGGUGAAGCGGGCUGGAGAGUCCCAAGGCAUCUGGGGUCCUCCUAGGGAGCUAGGGAAGACUUUGGGUGUUGCUCUACCCCAGGGCAGGAGAGGAGCUGCUGGGAACAGAGAUUAUCUGAAGAAUUCCUGCCACAGUUCGACCCCCACCCCACCCCUACCCCCAACCGAGGCCAAGGAAUGAGGCUGUGCCGGCUGGUGAACAGACUGCCCUGCGAGGACUUGAGCCUUGCCAAAAAGAGGUGGGGCCAGCAGCGGGCACAGCAUGUCAGGUGGAAUCACUGAAGACAAGGCCAGAGGUGCAGGGGGCCACAGAUGCUGGAGACCCUGGCCCGAUACCCACAUGGCUGGCCCCACUAAGGAACUGCCUCCCUUGGGGAAGUAACCCAGAGUUUCCCAAGGUUUGAGCAAGGGGAGCACAGAAUACAUUUCUGAAUGGAGAGGGACACCUAAGCGACCUCUGACUGUGAUCCUCGAUGAUCCCCUUCAGCCUGGCUUCUCAUGCUCUUGGGAGCCUGACUGUCUGUCUGUCUGUCUGUCCAUACUCAUUCCUGCACGGUUACCUUGAUCCCAGGUAUCAGGGCGAAGUUGAAACUCCUGCUUAGUUUGCAUCUCUUUCCUCCAUUCUCCUUAGUAACACUGACAUGCAAGAACACUUGCCCCAAAAAAUCUUCACUUAAGAUUUUCACUAAUAAGAUUACCAAUAGCAUAAAAAGUUAAAACGACAAAUUCCAGGACGUUUCUGGUAACUUCAUUCUACCGCGAGGCCCUGGAGGCAUCCCCCUGCUUCCCCCCCCCCCCCCCACCGUGUGAUGGAACAAAUUGAAGAGUCGCAGGCAGACCUGGAGUCGAGAUUCAGCCCUGCAGCUUACUGCCUUCCCUCGCACCGCGGCCCUCCUUAGCUCUGUUUCCCACGUGUGUGAAUUGAAGAUAACCAUAUUGGUGUACAGCGCUGGGGCAAAGGUGAAAUGGGAAGAUGGACAGCCACGCACCAGCAGAACUCCUGGAAGAUGGUAGUGGUAGAGACCCAGCUGUUACACAGCACCCUCUGUGGUCUCUUACAGCUGUCCAUUCCUGGGCACAGCGGGGGCCUCAGACAUCACGUCCACUUCCUGUGUCGGGCCACGUAACUAUCACUCUGCCCCCCACCUCGGACACCUUCCCACUCGUUGAAACAAGACCCAAGGGGUGCGCCUUUUCCACUGUAAAUUCACAAGACUGUGGCAGCUGAUCCAAAGUUGUCAUUUCCUGACAUCACACAUGGAGGGAAGGGGGCUUAUGCCCAGUAGCCCCCCAGUGUACCGCCUUCACUGGCCAGUACAAUUAGAAUGGGUGCUGGGGGAUAAUAAAUCUGCCACCAGCUUGGACAACAUGGCAAUAUAGACCCAAGCCCCUCUGGGAGGGGACUGGAGCCCGCCCCUCUGACCCAGGCUGUUGAUUUCUUAUGGGCAGGUGUAGUCCUGAAAACAGUCUACGUGGACAUGAGUCAUGAGAAAAACCACAUUCUUGUGAUGAGACUCUGACAAGUUGUCUUAAUUUAGGCAGAGGUAGUAAAACACCUUAUCCUAAAAUGGAAAAGCAAAUUCAACUUACUGGCUUUCAUGGUCUAUUUCAAUGACAAAGAAACCACCACCACCAAAAACAAAACAAAACAAAACAAAAACCAAAAAACCUGUAUAUUUAAGGUUCUUAAAAGAGCUUUUUCUAAAUAUCUACUCCUUCAGUGGAAAAAACAAACAAUUUUUCAUAUCAGGUUUAUUGAGUUUGUGAUUUAUAUCCAGUAAGAUUCACCCCAUUUUAGAGAUACAGUUUUAGUAUAAGUUUUGACAAAAAUUUAUGGUUGUGUAACCACCACAAUCAAGACAGAGACUAUUUUCAGUCCCCUAAAAUUUCCUGUUUGCCUUUGUAAUCAAUCCUCUUUGUGUUACCCCCACCUCCUGGCAACUGCUCUCUGUUCUCUGUCCCUAUAGUGUUGCCUUUUCCGGAAUGUCAUCUGAAUGGAAGCCAGUUGAGUUUGGCUUCUUCUAGCAUAACGCCCUUGGGCUGCAUCCCAGUUGUUGGGGGUAUCCGAAGUUGGCUCCUUCUGAUCGCAGAGUCGUACUCUGUGGGAUGGAUGCACCACCGUUUAUCUACUCACCAACCUUCAGAUUCCUUCCAGUGUGGGGCGAUGACAAAUAAAGUUGCUCUAAAAACUUGAGUGGACGUGUGAUUUCAUUUCUGCUAGGAGUGGGAUUGUGGGGUCAUGUAGUAAAUAUAUGCAUGGAAUUGCAAAACUAUUUUUCUGAGUAGCUGGGCCGUUCCGCACUCACAUCAACAAUGAAUGGGAGUGCCAGUUGCUUCACGUUCUCAUCAGCACUUGGUAUUGUCAGUUGUUUGACUCUUAAUUUUAGCCGUUCUGCUAGACGUAUAGUGUCUCAUUGUGGCUUUACUCUGCGGUCCACGAUGGAGCAUCUCUUCAUCUUUACCUCUUGUUUGGUGAAGCAUGUGUUCAAAUCUUCUGCCCAUCUAUUUUAUUUUAUUCUAGUCUAUUCUCUUUUUUAAGUAAGCUCUGUGUCCAGUGUGAGGCUUGAACUCUGAAUCCCAAGAUCGAGUCGCUCCCUCUACCGACCAAGUCAGCCAGGCACCCCUUUUGCCCACUUUUUAAUUGCAUUAUUUAUUAUUGAGUUUUGAAAGUUCUUCUGUAUUCUGGAUACAAGAAUAUAUAGGUAUUUAGGGCUUUUAGGGGAUUCUGUAUUUACUACUGUUUGUGAAAAAUAAAGACAUUAAAAUUUUUUAUUUUCUAAAAAAAAUAUGUUUCAGGAGAUGUGUACCACCAGUAAUAUUUAUUCAGAGUAAAUGUUUCCACAAUGAAAACUCUUUUCACAGUGGGACUCCCAGUGUCAGGGCCGAGAGCCACCCCUUGUUCCGUGGACUGUCACAUCCUAUAAGGCUUUCUGGAGUGAAGCAGGCACACUUCUAGGGAACACGUUCACCCGUGGAAAUUGUUCUCGUGUGGACACGGUUUCUGGGCUGGACUGCGUGGUGAGCACACGCCCACGGUACGCCGGUGUAGGAGAGAUCCAGUCGCUCGCCAUCCUCACGAGCCCCGGAUACUGUCCACAAACCGACUCUAGAA